rnacentral:rRNA from 1 species
AUUGAACGCUGGCGGAAUGCUUUACACAUGCAAGUCGAGCGGCAGCGCGGGGCAACCUGGCGGCGAGCGGCGAACGGGUGAGUAACACAUCGGAACGUACCCUGUCGUGGGGGAUAACACAUCGAAAGAUGUGCUAAUACCGCAUACGACCUGAGGGUGAAAGCGGGGGAUCGCAAGACCUCGCGCGAUAGGAGCGGCCGAUGGCGGAUUAGCUAGUUGGUGAGGUAAAGGCUCACUAAGGCGACGAUCCGUAGCUGGUCUGAGAGGACGACCAGCCACACUGGAACUGAGACACGGUCCAGACUCCUACGGGAGGCAGCAGUGGGGAAUUUUGGACAAUGGGCGCAAGCCUGAUCCAGCCACUCCGCGUGAGUGAAGAAGGCCUUCGGGUUGUAAAGCUCUUUCAGCAGGAACGAAACGGUGGGGGCUAAUAUCCCCUGCUAAUGACGGUACCUGAAGAAGAAGCACCGGCUAACUACGUGCCAGCAGCCGCCGUAA